rnacentral:rRNA from 1 species
UACAGAGGGUGCGAGCGUUAAUCGGAAUUACUGGGCGUAAAGCGCGUGUAGGCGGCUUUUCAAGUCGAUUGUGAAAUCCCCGGGCUUAACCUGGGAACUGCAGUCGAGACUGUCUAGCUAGAGUAUGGGAGAGGGAAGUGGAAUUUCAGGUGUAGCGGUGAAAUGCGUAGAUAUCUGAAGGAACAUCAGUGGCGAAAGCGACUUCCUGGACCAAUACUGACGCUCAUGUGCGAAAGCGUGGGGAGCAAACAGG